UGCCCCAUGGCUGAGUUGGUUACAGCGUCCGACUGUUACAAUCUCCUACUGAGCGUGAUAUCGGAAGGUCGUGAGUUCGAGCCUCACUGGGGCAG